GCUGAGUGGCGAUCACCCCGGCUGAAGGAAGCCCUGGCCGCCCCCCUUCUCUCUCUUCUCCCUCGUUUCCUCCCCUCUGCUAGCCAGGGUGCACACUCUGCUACCUAGGGCAUGUCUGCAGCGCAGGGAGUCCCACUAGCCAGACUGCAGCCGUCACGUGCCCAGAGGCUCACCAGCGCAGUCGGAGAAGGCAGCUGCGAGCCGCCAAGCACCCCCAACCGACCUAACGGAGGUCAGCCAGGAGCACCCGCAGGAUGACAACUAGCAGUUGUAUUGCACCGUCUGCCAUCCGCAAGGCAAGGGGAUGCUGCUGUGUAGCCUCUGCCAGCAGCACUCAGGAGACAUACAAUGACAGUGAGCUGAGCAGGCUCCAUGCUUGCCAUGUGUACUGCACCUUUAAAUGUCGGAAGACUCUGCUGUCUGCUAAGCUGGGGAGUCAUUUUGUGCUCAGUUCAGUGCAGCGCAGCCUACCACAGUGGACAGACGGACGGACAGACAGACACUAUUUUCAUAAGUAAAGAGGUGUGAGCAAAUAGCUUUCUGUGGACCAAACCAAAAAAUAAAAAUAAAAUUCAUUUCAGUUCAAA